rnacentral:tRNA from 1 species
UGGGGCUCAGUGGCAGAGUGCUUGCCUAGCACGCAAGAGGCCCUGGGUUCGAUCCCCAGCA